rnacentral:tRNA from 1 species
AGAAUAGUAUUUAAAUAUAAAGAUCUAAUCUGCAAUUAGAUUAUGCAUAAGCCUAUUCUA